CAUUAGGGCUCCAAAUUGGGUGAUUCAAAAGGAAAAAUUGUGAGGUUUUUCGUGGAGAACGCAUUGGAGAGAUUGAGAACUGAUUUGGAGCAUUCGAUUCAGGGCCUAAAUUCAAGAGCAUUUCGUGAGGAAUCUUUUGGUAAUCUCAGAAACGCGAGGAGAAGCUUCGUUUGAGGACCAAGCACCAGCUAUCGCCAUGAAUAAAUCGAGCCUGUUGCAGUCAACUUCGGAGACUAGGGUGAGUACUUGGUGUUUUUAGAUCAUUCCUGUCUCCUUCAGCAUGGAUGACCCGUCUUUUGCCUUCUGAGACUAGCCAGUUGUUAUAUAUAUUUUCGGCCCACUUUCGAAACUUGUACUCGUAUUUUAUUUUGUAGCAGCUCUGUAUUUGUGACUUCCAGA